rnacentral:rRNA from 1 species
GACAGAGGUGCCGAGCGUUAGGCGGAAUCACUGGGCUUAAAGCGUGUGUAGGCGGGCGGGCAAGUACCUUGUGAAAUCCCACGGCUCAACCAUGGAACUGCUUGGUAUACUGCGGAUCUUGAGCCACCUAGGGGCAAGUGGAACAAACGGUGGAGCGGUGAAAUGCGUAGAUAUCGUUUGGAACGCCAAUGGUGAAAACAACUUGCUGGGGGUGUGCUGACGCUGAGACACGAAAGCCAGGGGAGCAAACGGG